rnacentral:rRNA from 1 species
UACGUAGGGACCAAGCGUUGUUCGGAUUUACUGGGCGUAAAGGGCGCGUAGGCGGCUUGACAAGUCACUUGUGAAAUCUCCGGGCUUAACUCGGAACUGCCAAGUGAAACUGUCAUGCUAGAGUGCAGAAGGGGCAAUCGGAAUUCUUGGUGUAGCGGUGAAAUGCGUAGAUAUCAAGAGGAACACCUGAGGUGAAGACGGGUUGCUGGGCUGACACUGACGCUGAGGCGCGAAAGCCAGGGGAGCAAACGGG